CCCCCAAAAAAACAAAAAGCGGGCCCGUAAUUAUCCACCUGUGCCAGGAGACUUACCAGCUUCUGUGCUACGAUGUUGUAGUGACUGAAGGACUGGAGCAGGGCCACAAAGCAAACCUUACAGCCAGCUGGGGGAGAAG